CCCCUCUCAGGACCACACCCGGAGAGUUUCCAGUACUCUACCAGUCUUGACUAUGGGAGGGAGAGUGAAGCAGAGGCAUACUCAUUCCAUUCCUAGCUUGGCCAGUGGCUAGCGAGUGGAAAGCAAGCUGCUGCAAGA